rnacentral:rRNA from 1 species
ACGCUCGACACCUACGGGAGACAGCAGUGGGGAAUAUUGCACAAUGGGGGAAACCCUGAUGCAGCGACGCCGCGUGAGUGAAGAAGUAUUUCGGUAUGUAAAGCUCUAUCAGCAGGGAAGAAAAUGACGGUACCUGACUAAGAAGCCCCGGCUAACUACGUGUCAGCAGCCGCGGUAAUCUGAGCGGGCUGGCAAGGC